AUACGUACCUGGCAGAGGAGAUGCCCUGACCAUGGGGGCAGUUUUCCCAGGGCGAGGCUCACUCACUGCACUCUGGAUGUGCUGGCCCUGUGACCCCCUCAGACGCAGGAGCUCAACUGCAUGAUUUGUGGCAAUGGGAGACUAUGUUCAUGCUCUCCCC